UUUGUGUGCCUUGGAAUGGCUGAAACUAUGGGAAGGAUCCACAGUUUUUAUAUGCUUUGGAAUGGCUGAAACUGUGGGAAGGAUCCCCAUUUUUAUGUGUUUGAUGUGAAACUGGUUGAGGAUGACCCAGUCCCAGGUGGGCCAGGCUGGAGAUGCUGAACAGCAGAGGCAGCAAAACUCAAACAGAGGGAUUGGAUGUGGGAAGGGAAAAGCAUUUUUGUUCCUGUUUUCAGACAGUCCUGCUUUGUUGCAUGCCUGAAAUGCACAAUUCCCAUUUUCCUUUGCUGCUGUGCAGGUGGUUUUUGCUCUGGGAGCCCUGUUCAAUACGUUCUGGCUGAUGGAAGUGGGCAGAUUCGUGUUUGGGAUUGGUGGCGAGUCCUUGGCGGUGGCCCAGAACACGUAUGCAGUGAGCUGGUUCAAGGGCAAGGAGCUGAACCUGGUGUUUGGAUUGCAGCUCAGCAUGGCCAGGAUUGGGAGCACGGUGAACAUGAAUAUUAUGGGCUGGAUCUACUCCAGAGUUCAGGAUCUCCUGGGCUACGCUGGUCCCAGCACGCUCGGCGUGGCUCUGCUCAUAGGUGGGGUCACCUGCCUCUUCUCACUGAGCUGUGCUUUGAUCCUGGCUUACCUGGACAGGAGAGCAGAGAAGCUGCUCUGUAAAGAGCAGGGGAAAACAGGUGAGUGCUGGGGCUGGCCCUUCCAGCUGCCCUGCACCAGCCAGGGUUGCAUUUCAGCUGCUUCACUGCCUGCUGCUUAACUUUGUCACACUGCUGAUCAUAACUUUUAGCUCAUUUUUACAUGGAAUUUUAGUUUUAAACACCAGCUCAGCAGGCGGAUGCACUGCCAGCUGCUUUAUGUAUAAAAAACAAAGUUUGCAGCAGUUUGUGCCAUUGGUUCUGUGCUCUUUUUUUUUGGG
rnacentral:lncRNA from 1 species